UUAUUGCAAAAGCGAUAGUAAUGGUUAGCUUUUGGCGAGGCGCGCAUCGAGCCAAAACUAGUAAUGGAUAGCGCGGUGGCUU
rnacentral:sRNA from 1 species